rnacentral:rRNA from 1 species
AUGCAAGAUGGAUAUCUCUUCAAAAAUGAUCGUUUGUGCAUUCCAAGAAGUUCUCUACGUGACAAGCUGGUUAGAGAGCUCCAUUCAAGUGAUCUUAGUGGCCAUGUUGGACAGGACAAGACUGUCACUAGCCUGGAAGCUCGCUACUUUUGGCCACAACUAAAGAGAGAUGCUGGAAAGUUUGUUCAGCGAUGCCCUAUAUGUCAAACAUACAAAGGCCAAGUCCAGAACACAGGGUUAUACAUGCCUUUGCCUGUUCCUGUCGCUCCAUGGGAGGACAUCUCUAUGGACUUCGUCUUGGGCUUGCCAAGGACAAGGCAAGGGAGUGAUGAUGUGUUUGUGGUCAUGGACAGAUUCUCUAAGAUGGCUCAUUUCAUUCCAUGCCGCAAGACAACGGAUGCUCAUCAUGUGGCAAACCUAUUCUUUCGAGAAGUGAUCAGACUUCAUGGAGUUCCAAGGUCCAUCGUCUCAGAGCGUGAUAGCAAGUUUCUUGCUGCAUUUUGGCUCACUUUCUGGAAGCAAUUCAACACUGAAUUGAAAUUUUCUAGCACUGCUCAUCCACAAAUAGAUGGACAAACGGAAGUGGUGAACAAGUUUUUGGGUAAUCUGAUCUGUUGCAUUUGUGGAGAAAGAAAGGGGCAAUGCGAUUUGGCUUUAUCUCUUGCAGAGUUCUCCUACAGUAACUCCAAGCAUAGAUCCACAGGAAGGAGCCCUUUUUCCAUUAUCUACACUAAAGUUCCAACACAUGUGGUGGACCUGGUGAAGCUGCCAUCAAGGGGAAAGUCAAAAUCAGCAUUGUCCUUUGCUGAUAAUUACACCGAGUUAUUUGAAGUGAUUCGCGACGCUUUGGAAGCACAAAAUCAGAAAUAUAAACAACUUGUUGAUUACAAAAGGAGGCCAAAAUCAUUCCAAGUCGGUGAUAAGGUGAUGGUCUACCUCCGAAAAGAGAGGUUGCCUUUAGGUGUUAAAGGGAAACUUAGGCAGCGAAGGUAUGGGCCCUUCUCUAUCGUGAGGAAGAUAAAUGAUAAUGCUUAUGUGAUAGAUCUUCCAAGUGACAUGGGUAUCUCCAACACUUUCAAUGUUACGGACUUGACUCUCUACCAUCCAGAAGAAGCGCUCUAUGAAGAUAACUCGAGGGCGAGUUCCAAACAACUAGGGGAGAAUGAUGAGGAACACUAG